rnacentral:tRNA from 1 species
GGAGAGGUGCCGGAGCUGGCUGAUCGGGGCGGUCUCGAAAACCGUUGUUUGCAUUCGCGAACCGGGGGUUCGAAUCCCUCCCUCUCCG